UACGUAGGUGACAAGCGUUGUCCGGAUUUACUGGGCGUAAAGGAGCGCGCAGGCGGUCGUUCAAGUCGAGUGUGAAAGCCCCCGGCUCAACUGGGGAGGGUCAUUCGAUACUGAUCGACUCGAAGGCAGGAGAGGGUAGUGGAAUUCCCGGUGUAGUGGUGAAAUGCGUAGAUAUCGGGGAGGAACACCAGUGGCGAAGGCGAGUCUCUGGAAAGCUGCUGACGCUGAGGCACGAAGGCCAGGGGAGCAAACGGGG
rnacentral:rRNA from 1 species